AUUGAACGCUGGCGGCAGGCUUAACACAUGCAAGUCGAGCGGGGGAAGGUAGCUUGCUACCGGACCUAGCGGCGGACGGGUGAGUAAUGCUUAGGAAUCUGCCUAUUAGUGGGGGACAACAUCUCGAAAGGGAUGCUAAUACCGCAUACGUCCUACGGGAGAAAGCAGGGGAUCUUCGGACCUUGCGCUAAUAGAUGAGCCUAAGUCGGAUUAGCUAGUUGGUGGGGUAAAGGCCUACCAAGGCGACGAUCUGUAGCGGGUCUGAGAGGAUGGUCCGCCACACUGGGACUGAGACACGGCCCAGACUCCUACGGGAGGCAGCAGUGGGGAAUAUUGGACAAUGGGGGGAACCCUGAUCCAGCCAUGCCGCGUGUGUGAAGAAGGCCUUAUGGUUGUAAAGCACUUUAAGCGAGGAGGAGGCUACUUUAGUUAAUACCUAGAGAUAGUGGACGUUACUCGCAGAAUAAGCACCGGCUAACUCUGUGCCAGCAGCCGCAGUAA
rnacentral:rRNA from 1 species